rnacentral:misc_RNA from 1 species
AAAGUCGUAACAAGGUUUCCGUAGGUGAACCUGCGGAAGGAUCAUUAACGAGUUAGGGUCUUCUAGGCCCGACCUCCCAACCCUAUGUUUACUGUACCAUUGUUGCUUCGGUGGGUCCGUCUAACGACCGCCGGGGGACCGCCGCGAGGCCCCCCUGGCCAGCACCCGCCGAUAGCCAAAUUUAAACCCUUAUGAAUCGUGUCUUAUGUCUAAAUCAUGAUUAAAAAUCAAAACAAAACUUUCAACAACGGAUCUCUUGGUUCUG